UCAGGAUGAACGCGUGGCGGCGUCGCUUAACACAUGCAAGUACGAACGAUAAAGCCCGUCGGGGGUGUAUAGAGUGGCGAACGGGUGAGUAACACGUGAGCAACCUACCUCUCACACCGGGAUAACAUAUGGAAACGUAUGCUAAUACCGGAUACUCCGGAACUUACGCAUGUUCGUUCCGGGAAAGCUCCGACGGUGAGAGAUGGGCUCGCGGCCCAUUAGCUUGUUGGUGGGGUAACGGCCUACCAAGGCGACGAUGGGUAGCCGGGUUGAGAGACUGAUCGGCCACAUUGGGACUGAGACACGGCCCAGACUCCUACGGGAGGCAGCAGUGGGGAAUUUUGCGCAAUGGGGGCAACCCUGAACCGCAGCAACGCCGCGUGCGGGAUGACGGCCUUCGGGUUGUAAACCGCUUUCAGUAGGGAAGAUUAUGACGGUACCUACAGAAGAAGCUCCGGCUAACUACGUGCCAGCCGCUGC
rnacentral:rRNA from 1 species